rnacentral:rRNA from 1 species
GUGCCAGCAGCCGCGGUAAGACAGAGGGUGCAAACGUUGUUCGGAAUUACUGGGCGUAAAGCGCGUGUAGGCUGCUUCGCAAGUCGGGUGUGAAAGCCCUGGGCUCAACCUAGGAAGUGCACUCGAAACUGCGAAGCUGGAGUCCUGGAGAGGAAGGCGGAAUUCUCGGUGUAGAGGUGAAAUUCGUAGAUAUCGAGAGGAACACCGGUGGCGAAGGCGGCCUUCUGGACAGUGACUGACGCUGAGACGCGAAAGCGUGGGGAGCAAACAGGAUUAGAUACCCUGGUAGUCC